rnacentral:rRNA from 1 species
GACGAACGCUGGCGGCGUGCUUAACACAUGCAAGUCGAACGAAGUGGCGAACGGGUGAGUAAUACGUGAGUAACCUGCCCUCCUUUUUGGGCUAAGCCUUGGAAACGGGGUCUAAUACCGAAUAAAGGGGGAUGGGCUCGCGGCCUAUCAGCUUGUUGGUGGGGUGAUGGCCUACCAAGGAGGUGACGGGUAGCCGGCCUGAGAGGGUGACCGGCAAUAUAUGGACUGAGAGACGGCCCGGACGACGAGUGGAGGCAGCAGUGGGGGAUAUUGCACAAUGGGCGAAAGCCUGAUGCAGCGACGCCGAGUGGGGGAUGAAGGCUUUCGGGUUGUAAACCGCUUUCAGCCAUGACGCGGUAGUGGCAGAAGAAGCACCGGCUAACUACGUGCCAGCAGCCGCGGUAAUAC